UUGGCGGACGGGUGAGUAACGCGUGGAGAACCUGCCGUAUACUGGGGGAUAACACUUAGAAAUAGGUGCUAAUACCGCAUAAGCGCACAGCUUCGCAUGAAGCAGUGUGAAAAACUCCGGUGGUAUACGAUGGAUCCGCGUCUGAUUAACUUGUUGGCGGGGUAAAGGCCCACCAAGGCGACGAUCAGUAGCCGGCCUGAGAGGGUGAACGGCCACAUUGGGACUGAGACACGGCCCAAACUCCUACGGAAGGCAGCAG
rnacentral:rRNA from 1 species